CUAACCAUGCAGUCGAGCGGCAGCACAGAAGAAACUUGUUUCUCAGGUGGCGAAGCGGCGGACGGGUUGAGUAAUGCCUGGGAAAUUGCCCUGAUGUGGGGGAUAACCAUUGGAAACGAUGGCUAAUACCGCAUGAUGCCUACGGGCCAAAGAGGGGGACCUUCGGGCCUCUCGCGUCAGGAUAUGCCCAGGUGGGAUUAGCUAGUUGGUGAGGUAAGGGCUCACCAAGGCGACGAUCCCUAGCUGGUCUGAGGGGAUGAUCAGCCACACUGGAACUGAGACACGGUCCAGACUCCUACGGGAGGCAGCAGUGGGGAAUAUUGCACAAUGGGCGCAAGCCUGAUGCAGCCAUGCCGCGUGUGUGAAGAAGGCCUUCGGGUUGUAAAGCACUUUCAGUAGGGAGGAAGGUGGUAGUGUUAAUAGCGCUAUCAUUUGACGUUACCUACAGAAGAAGCACCGGCUAACUCCGUGCCAGCAGCCGCGGUAAUACGGAGGGUGCGAGCGUUAAUCGGAAUUACUGGGCGUAAAGCGCAUGCAGGUGGUUUGUUAAGUCAGAUGUGAAAGCCCGGGCUCAACCUGGGAAUUGCAUUUGAAACUGGCAAACUAGAGUACUGUAGAGGGGGGGUAGAAUUUCAGGUGUAGCGGUGAAAUGCGUAGAGAUCUGAAAGGAAUACCGGGUGGCGAAAGGCGGGCCCCCUGGACAGAUACUGACACUCAGAUGCGAAAGCGUGGGGAGCAAACAGGAUUAGAUACCCUGGUAGUCCACCGCCGUAAACGAUGUCUACUUGGAGUUGUGGCCUUGAGCCGUGUUUCGGAGCUAACGCGUUAAGUAAGACCGCCUGGGG
rnacentral:rRNA from 1 species